rnacentral:siRNA from 1 species
GUUCCACUUUCACUGUUUAAGUC